rnacentral:rRNA from 1 species
UACGUAGGGUGCGAGCGUUGUCCGGAAUUAUUGGGCGUAAAGAGCUCGUAGGCGGUUUGUCGCGUCGUUCGUGAAAACUCCACGCUUAACGUGGAGCGUGCGGGCGAUACGGGCAGACUUGAGUUCGGUAGGGGAGACUGGAAUUCCUGGUGUAGCGGUGAAAUGCGCAGAUAUCAGGAGGAACACCGGUGGCGAAGGCGGGUCUCUGGGCCGAUACUGACGCUGAGGAGCGAAAGCGUGGGGAGCGAAUGGG